rnacentral:lncRNA from 1 species
AAGGAAGGAAGUGGUAGGAAAGAUGAAGCUAACUCUUGCUGUUUUUCUCUUUAAGAAUCUACAGUCCAUAAUGGAGCCACUGUACUGGCUUUUGGAAGGAGGAGAUUCUGAAGAUAGGGAGAUUCAGCAAUCAGUCUUUGAAAUUUCCUGUGGUCUGUUCAAUCUAGAUGCAAAGGACAUGGAAAAAUCAAGUGCUCAAGUGGUUUAAAUAUGUUUUGGAUAUUCUUAUUUAUAGAUUACAGGAUUUUUCCAAUUAAAAUCCGCAGUUGUCAUGCAGAAGGAGGUUAUGCCCUUCUUGAUCACCAGUUUUAUUUGAAAUGCUUAGCAUUAUAGUGUGUUACUGAAUGCUGUUUUAAUCAAAGUAUAGAAAAAUAAAAACAAUUCUAUAUGUUGACUUUUUUUCUAA